GCCAGGUCCCCAGAGGAGGGUGGGUCUCGGCCCGCCCCCGUGGGGGCGGGCGCACUUUUGGAGGAGCGACUUCGCGGGCUUCCGGUUGGGGCCGGAAGUUGUAGUUACUAAGGCGACGCCAAACUGCUGGCCCAGUUUCAUAGAUGUUCCCAGCGCCACCUUCUGUGAUGACAUCCCCCAAAGGAAAUCGAGCCCAUAAGAUGAAGCUGCCCAUUUUUACCCGAAAGGGGAUGCUGGAAGUGCCAUCCCCAACAGAGAAAGACUGGUCUAAGGAUGAUGAAGACGAUUGCGUCUUCAGUGAUCCAGAGCAAGAGGUGGAUUCCCUACCUCAGCCUUACCGAAUGAUCAACAAGCUGGUGAACUUUCUGUUUGACCGUUCUUGGGAAAUUAUUGAGGAGAGGGACGUGUUGAGGACAGCUGAGCUCAGCCGGAUCCAGCCUACCAUCUACCCUCCGUUUAUGGAAAGCACGCUCAACAAAAUGCCAAAUUGUAUGGCUGUUUCUCAAGACUAUGUAUUUAUUGGAGGAACGAAAGGAUUCUCCAUCUAUAAUCUGCACAAUGCUAAAAGAAUAUAUGUUUGGGAGAAACUUAAGGUUGAUGUGACUUCCAUCUGGGCCACAGAUUUGGGGAAUGAAAUACUUAUUGCUCCUGUGGAUGAAAUGGGUAUCAUUAGACUGUUUUAUUUUUAUAAGGAUAGUCUUUUCCUCAUCAAAGCCAUCAAUGAAGUGGAUGAUACCAGCAAACAAACCACCUGUAUCAAGAUGGAGAUUUCUGAAGGAGGGGACUUCGCAGCCUUCCUCCUACAAGGAGCUGGAGAUAUUUGUCUGGAUGUGUAUAAAUUGCCUAAGGAGUCUUGGCUCAAGGAAGUGGAGUACCCCCAACUCUCUGCAGAUUCAAAGAAAAAAGUCAGACAGCUGCAAUUGAACACUCUUGACCCUGUAACGACUGAUACUUUUGAAAUGGAUAUAAACAUCUGUUUUAGAGGAGAUGUUAAACUGAGUCUUCCAGUUCACAUAAUGAAGAUCAAACCACCCAAACCAGUUACAGGUACCACAUUUAAGAGCCCUCUGGAAGUCUUUGCAAAGAUAGAGGACUGCUGUGGGCUGGGCUCCGGGCAGAAUCACUUCAUCAAGGACAGUCAGUGGGAGCAGCAGGUGGCAAUCUUCAACGCCACCUACAAGAAGUACCUGGAUGGGGAGUGGGAGGAGGAGCUGCUCAGUAUGGCCACUUUCCACUUCCUCCUUCCUAGCUGCAUCAUUGCAAUGCCAGCAGAAGUCAAGAACCCACCAGGGGUGGCCUGUGUCCUUGGCGUGCACUGGACCGGAAGUCACAACUUCUUCCUCUAUUCACUUAACCGAACGCUGAAGGAUAAAGUUGACCCCGAGAGCGCGUGGCCCUGUGCUGCGCCCAUCACGGUGUCUCAGCUCAGCUGCUGCUGCUCCUACCUGGUGCUGGCCUGCGAGGACGGUGUGCUCACGCUGUGGGACCUGGCCCAAGGACUCUCUCUUGGAGUCAUUGCUCUUCCUGAAAGAUGUCUCUGCCAAAGCAUUCACUUCCUGAAAUACUUCUUAGUCCACAAAGGACGGAACAUGUAUCCCGAGGGGCCGGUGAAAUCCCAGAUGAAGUGUGUGGUGCUGGGCACAGAUGGCGCUCUCUACCUGGUGGCAGCCUCGGGGACCCAAAGACCCACCCUCAGUUUGCUUGUCGAGAGGCCUGUGAAGCACCCGGAGGAAGCCAUCUGUGCAGUGGCCCCAGUCCGAGACUUACCCGGCAUGGUACUGAUCUUUUCCAGCAAUGGCUCUGUGCACCUCAUGGACGUGGCCACAUCACAGAUUAUCUGUGCCUUUGCUCCGCCCAGAUCCUACCAUCUGGGAGUCCCCUGGAAGCCAGUGUUUGUCGUGUCUUCACACCACCCAUGUUUCCUGCUCCGAGGAGACCAUCCCGAUGAACUCGGAUCCGCCAGCAAUGCCGAGGACAUCCCAAAUUCUAUUUUCUAUUUUAAUUUCGAGGCCUGCCCACUCCUAGAAAACAUCAGAAGAAAUUGCACCAUUCCUCAAACUGACAUGCUGGAUAACGCGGCCUUCCCCCAGGUGUUGCCUUUGGAGAAAAGAUGCGAGAAUUUCUUCCAGAAGAGGUAAACGGCUAUGUGAUACAUCUCUCCUCUUCCCCUCUCUGCUUCCCCCCGUCCUGCUGGGACUCUGCUUGUGUUCCUUCCUGCUGAAAAAGCGUAAUUAACGCCACUCAGUCCAUUCUGGAGAAGCAAGUAUCUCAUCUAAUCCAUCCACAGCAAACUUCUAGGGCUUUGCAAGUUCUUGUUGACGAUUUCGGCUGUGAUCUGGCCAUACAUUUCAGGUGAAAGGGGUCAUCAGUAGAGCUCUGGAAUCUUGCCCCAGGCCUGCCACUACACAGCCAGAGGGCUUUGGUGUGCCCUCCCUUCCAGGGCCUCAGUGUCCUUCUGCAACAUGAGCUCUGAGAUGUGAUCUCUCCAAUCUCCAUAACAUCCCUUCAUGGCCAUUUCUUCCGUUUUCACUCUUUCCUGGAGGAAUGAAGUGGAAUGGCUAAGAUGCUCAGGUGUGAAUUCUGACUCCACUACUUACUGAGAGACCUUGGCUGAGUUACUUAACCUCUCAAAGCCUCAGUUUCCUCGGUCAUUCAAAAAAUAUUUAUUGAGCACUUGCAUACAAUGUGCUAGACUGUGUUCUGGACAUUUCGAUGAUGCCUGAUCUCUAGGUUUUGUAGGUUUUCAGUGAGAAAAUACAUGUAAAGUGCUAGGCACAGGGUGGUCCCUCAGUAAAUAGCAGAUACAAAAAUGGUGAUGGGUCCCCUCCGCGUUGGUUUAAGUUCAUGCCUGGGGAGAUUGCAAAUAUCACCACAAGGUGGCACCACAGCUCUCCUCCACCACAGAAUUUACCUGUUGCAUUCAGGUCCUUCCUGGGUUGCCCUGCAUUGCUCAGGCAGCUUCCAGGAUCUCCUGGCGGGGAGUGCGCUCACUCACCAGAAAGGGAAUAUGGUCCAUGGGUCUUGGGGGAGGAGGACAGUGAAGAAGGGGCCAGUUGACGUUUCCUCUGUUUAAAGAUUUGCCAAGAAUGCUCAGCUAUUCCUCACACGGAGGUUUCUCGUUUUGAUCCCCGAUGACUUGGCUUGUUCUUAGGAGACGCAGCAGGAGGAAUUAAGGGUGAAGUGUUGUGAUGCCUACAACUUACUUUCAAGUGGUCCAAGAAAACAUUUGUAGAGAGACAGAGAGAAAGAGAAAGUGUUAACUGCUGAAACCCAGGAAAAUAUUUAUAGAGAAAGAGAGAAAGGGAGGGAAGUGAAUGUUAACAACUGGUGAGUCCAGCUGGAAACUCACGGUACUACUUGCAACUUUUCUGUAGGUUUGAAAUUCCCGAAGUAAAAGAUAGGGAGAGGCUAUAAAAUAUUACUUACAGUAUAAUCCUGAUUCUGAGUAAAAAGAGGGAAGACUGGAAAUGUGUUCAUCUACAGUAACACUAAUCAUGUUUAGGCAGUGAAGCGUGAGUGAUUUUUUUUUCUUUGUAUUUUCCCUAUUUGUAACUUUUCUACAAAAAAUAUGCAUUAGUUUGGAAAUUUUUAAGUAACGGUUGGAAAAAACAAGUCGAGUAUGAGGUUAGGUCACGGUUGCAGCAGGGCUGUUCUCUGGGGUUGCAGGUCAUAGCAUGGAGCCUUCUGGUGCUCUUGCUUGAUCAGGCCCAGAGAACUCACUGUUUAAUGAGUAUAUUUCCAUUUCUAUCCUUUCUGUCUAACCCCCUCCUUUAAGUGGCGUAGGAAGGGUGAGCCUUCCCCCUUCACCUAGAGCCAACUGGCUGCCCUCCUGUGGGAAUGGACUACAGGCCCGCAGCUCCAGCCCUGGCCACUCACCUCCUGCCUGGUUGCCCAGGGCCUGAGCAACUCAGGACGCCUCAGCCCCUAACUGGCAGUCUCCCUCCCUCAACCAAGGUGCAGGUAGAGGUUACUCCUCAGACACCUGCUGAACCCUUCUUAACCCAAUGAGUGUAGAACUACAACUAUAACAGAGAAAUUCCCCGCUUUAAAAAAAUGUUACUAUUUCUGAUAUAUGUUAUAUAUGCACUUGUAGAGAUUUGGAAAACAGGACAAUACAAAAAAGAAAAUUUAAAUACCCCACAAUCCAUCACCCAAAGUCAGCACUGCCAUUGACCUGCUAGUUUAUUUCCUUCAGGUUUUGUCCUUAGUGCUUUCGCUAAGUUGAGAUCAUGUUCACUUUUUUAAGCUGGCUUUAUGUUCACUCCAGAAUAUAAUUUAACUGACUUUUUAAUUUUAAGAAAAACUUCCUUGUCAAUAUGUUUUUAAUGCCUAUAUGUUUUCCAUGGAAAGGGUGUCUAUGGUACACUUCCCCAUCCCCCUGUUGGAUCUACUCUCAUAAGGAGAAGACAGUCCCUUCUGCCCCGACCUGCUCCAGUCUCUGGAACCCCACAGGCCCAUCCUGGCCCCCAGUAGGAAUGGGAGGGACUCCUCCACCUCUCCCUUCCCAUCUAUCUCUCUUCCCCUGUUGGCACAGCUUAGCUCCACAAUCCCACACCGCAGCCCGUCCCUGGGAAGGACCCCCAGUGGCUGGGUGAGGUGGAGGGCCCUGGGGGCCGGGGGCAGGGCUCGGGGCUGAACGAGCAGUUGGAGUUUGGGGAAGAGAGAAGCUCAGGGAGGUGCUCCCUAGGUUCAGGGACCCAGCAGAGGCUGGGACGGGUUGCACUGUGUGGUGGGGACAGGCCCAGCUUAAAGAGACGUUUACUUGGGCCUGAUCACAGUAUCAAAUCAUACCCCUCACGGCAACUCAUUUUCUGAAUUGGGCCCCAGCAAUCACUUAGGAAACAUUGAUUUAAAGAAGGCUCUUCCUGUUCUACCUCCUCUGAGGUCUGAUAUCCCAGGGUACCCCGCCUCCAACAUUUUAUUGUGUUAAACAUACAGCAACUUUGAGAAAAACGUCAGUGAACACCCACAGACCCACAAGCUAGAUUCCGUCAUUCACAUUUUACUCCCCUUGUUUCUCACACAUGACCAUAGAUGUCUGAAGACUAAUCUUACCUUUUUUUCCCUCUAUUUACCCCUUGUAUCUAAAACAGUUUCCAGUGGCCCUAAAACUAGGUGAAACUUUAAGGCAAUGGAUUCAUGUGGCAAUAGAUUCAAAGUUUCAAACUUGCAUUAAAUAGCCUGCCCAAGUUGUUUUCACAAAACCUGCACUUGGGACUUAUAAAUAACCAGUGUGAAACGGAGCCUGCCUUUAGGGCUUUGAAAGGGGGCCAGUUAGCACCAAAUGUCCCCUGCCAACUCCCUCGGCAGGCUGGCUUCUGCUCCCAUCCAGCCUGGGCCUCCAGGGCACCAUUUCCAUCUGGCUCCACUCCCUGUGUAUUGUCUGCCAUCUCGGUUGGGUCAGACUUUUGAUCACAAGACAGAAAUUUCAGGACACAGGAAGCUGACAGGAAGUGCUCUCUCUCUCUCGCCUCACCCCCUUUAUCCCCCGUGGUCAAGCAGAACAUGGGCUUCUGGGCUGAUCUAACGUCCCAGGUCCACACGUUUCCUUGGCAAGGGGGUGGGCAGGCCCUGUGUGGACACCAGGUGACAUUUCCCUCGUUGGUGGAGGGUAAGGGAUGGUAUUCUGACCCUCUUCUUUACUAUCCCUGGGAGGGAGAUUGUGGGCCUAUCCUAACCUUUCUUGAGAAACAAAGGGACAAAUCCCUGGAAGAUUAUUUAUAGACUCAUAGAACCCAAGUAUGCAUGCAGUUCAUUACUGGAAUUCCGAGGCUUUACACAAGGCCUCACAGAUGUUCCAUCUCCUCUCCCACUUUGCAGAUAGGCUGCCCGUCUUUUUUGGAAGAGGUACGCACACACUUUGCUUCAGAACAAUAGACAGCAGUCCUAUUUGUUGUCCCAUCCUGGGAAGGAAAACCCUGUAUUUGCUGAUGGUGGAGCGAGAGGGUCUCAGGCUUCAGACAGGGCCUUUCCCAGAGGGCUGCUGACAGUCAGUGCCCAGCCUCAGAUGAACAGGCAUGCUCCCCUGUCCCCCAUCAUGGCCCAACACCGACUGCCAAAGGGAACUGCUCUGCAGACGUGCUGGUACCACACAAAGCGCCCCACCCAGCUUUGCCUGUUCCCUACACGGCAGGUGUCCCCUGUCACCUCUGCCCUGCCACUGGUGGAUAACCGCGCUUCCCACUUCCCAGAGCACCAGGCCCUUGGCUGCCCUUUCACUUGGGUCUCCCGGGUCACCCCCAACCCCACGCCCUUUCCCCUUCCUGAUUCAGAGAAAGAGGCGUCCUGCUCAUACCCAAGGCCAUUUCCCCUGCAGGACACCCAGACCUUCUUGUCCAGCUGGUUGGCGACCUCCUCGCCUCCACUGACCUAAUCAUGGACAUAUGUCCCCACCACGUUCUCACAUUAGAAAACAAGCAAGAGCCUUCCCAGGUCUGCAGCCGCCUUAUUUCUCCUCCACCCAGAGCCCUGCCCGCAGCAAACACAGUCCACACCCCCUCCUGUGUCCUCUUCUUCCAUUUGCUCCCCAGCCCACUGCAGACUUACCAUGGUGUCACCCUGGCCCCACCUCCCCGGCCCAACA